AUGGAUGGGGAGAGAGAGAGGGAUGGGGAGAGAGAGAGGGAUGGGGAGAGAGAGAGGGAUGGGGAGAGAGAGAGAAAAGAAGGAGGGUGAGACAGGAAGAAGAAGAACCGUUUGGUGUGCUGGUCAGGGAUUCAUCUAAAAGACUCUAGAGAAGUAGCAACAGGGGAAUCAGGGCCAGUUCUGAAACAGCACAAUGGAAUGGAGACCUGAGAGGAAGUGUUUUACACACAAGCACACAGACAUGCAAACGUUACGGACGUCAUGCCAAAUCCUCCUGACUCGGCUCAUACCUGGCUCUAACUCAGUACCUCUACUUUGCUUACGCAGAAGUCAGGCAGGAGGGUACCAGGUGUUGGUACUAACAUGUGUUUGAACUGUCUGUAGCCUCAACAUUCCCAGAUACAGUAUAUGUUUGUUUGUUUGUUUGUUUGUUUGUUUGUUUGUUUGUGUCUGUCUGUCUGUCUGUCUGUCUGUCUGUCUGUCUGUCUGUCUGUCUGUGUGUGUCAGCUAAGGCAGUUUGGACAUUCUGUAACCUGAUCUCUCCUCAGACACCAACCAGCUCUCGAAGUCUCACGUCAGGUUUAGAUGUUCAGCCACGUUUUCUCAAACAAUUCACUUAUUUACAGCAGGUAGUGAAUGUGGCUACAGGGGACAGGUGGUGCCCACAGUCCCUACGGCCCUACAGGGGACAGGUGGUGCCCACAGUCCCUACGGCCCUACAGGGGACAGGUGGUGCCCACAGUCCCUACGGCCCUACAGGGGACAGGUGGUGCCCACAGUCCCUACGGCCCUACAGGGGACAGGUGGUGCCCACAGUCCCUACGGCCCUACAGGGGACAGGUGGUGCCCACAGUCCCUACGGCCCUACAGGGGACAGGUGGUGCCCACAGUCCCUACGGCCCUACAGGGGACAGGUGGUGCCCACAGUCCCUACGGCCCUACAGGGGACAGGUGGUGCCCACAGUCCCUACGGCCCUACAGGGGACAAGGUGCCAUUUAGGACCCAGUCAAUGUCACAGCAACAACAGACUGACAUCAUCUGGCUCAUGGUACAGCUCUGCAGCCAUAAAGUCA